rnacentral:rRNA from 1 species
UGGGGAAUAUUGGGCAAUGGGGCGCAAGCCUGACCCAGCAACGCCGCGUGAAGGAAGAAGGCUUUCGGGUUGUAAACUUCUUUUGUCAGGGACGAGUAGAAGACGGUACCUGACGAAUAAGCCACGGCUAACUACGUGCCAGCAGCCGCGGUAAUACGUAGGGGGCAAGCGUUAUCCGGAUUUACUGGGUGUAAAGGGAGCGUAGGCGGCGGAGCAAGUCAGAAGUGAAAGCCCGGGGCUCAACCCCGGGACGGCUUUUGAAACUGCCCUGCUUGAUUUCAGGAGAGGUAAGCGGAAUUCCUAGUGUAGCGGUGAAAUGCGUAGAUAUUAGGAGGAACACCAGUGGCGAAGGCGGCUUACUGGACUGACAAUGACGCUGAGGCUCGAAAGCGUGGGGAGCAAACAGGAUUAGAUACCCUGGUAGU